GUCGCCGGCUUGGCGCGCGAUCCGAUCCACCUCUCCUCGGAAGUAAGCCCUGUUGAAUUCAACGGAACUUACUCCCAGGUGGCUGGGAAGCCAUGAAGGGAGGGAAGCCGAUCGAGCUUGAGUUCCACACUCCGGGCACCACAACUGAGAAGGCCCUGAGGAACAAUCUCGGUCUGGAUCAAAGUCUCAGAUUUUGCAUGCAAGAGAGCCAUGCCUUGACACGGAAGGAAACCCUAUAGGUUGCAGAAGUUUCUAUGGCACAUAGCUCAUGCACGGGCACCAUUCCCCAUCAGGAACAGACCGUUUCCCAAAACUUUCCUGCAUCUUGCAGAAAGAAGUUGGCAGAAGACGGCAGGCAGAGGAGGCUAAAACAGACCCUUCUCCCAGAACCACCAUUCGGAUCCAAACUGGAGACCUGCUUUGAAGUGAAACAACAUCAGAGAUCCGAUCAUGUUUUGGCCGCAAGCCAAUCUUCUUCUCCCAUCUCGAAGCCGGAGAGGAGACUUACGAAGGCUUUCAGUUGGAGGCCAGGCAGCCAACUCCAUAAAGCGCCGCGGUGCCACUUUAAACGGCUUCCCCCAGAGAAUUCUGGGAGCUGUAGUUUGUUACACGCUACCCGGGCUUGCGCCCCGGGGAGGUCACUUCAGUGCUGCUAAUGCAGGGGUUUGACUUCACCCCCGGAGGAGCACUCCAUUGUCUCUUGAGACAGGUGCCAACAGACAGACUUCCCCCAAAGGAUUCUGGGAGCUGCAGUUUGUCAAGGGUGCUGUGUGUUGUUAGGAGAACCCCGUUCUCCAUGCAGAGCUACAGUUCCCAGAGUUCCCUGUGAAGAGGGAUUGAUUGUUAAACUGCUCGGCGAAUUGUAGCUCUGGGAGGGGAACAGGGGUCCCCUAACAACUCCCAGCACCCUUGACAAACUAUAACUCCCGGGGGGGGAGCCAUGACUGUUUAAAGUGGAAUCCUAGUGUUUUAAACGCAUGAUGCGAGCAAGGCCUCACCCUCUCUGCCAAGAUGGUACCCAUUGCAGGGGGUUGGACUAGAUGACCCAUGGGUACCCUUCCAACUCUACAAUUCUAUUGAACAGUAUUCUGUUGCAUUUGCACCAGAUUCAACAAUUCUGUUACUGUACUCCCAUCAACAGUAAGCCUGCCAAGUCACUGGGUCACAGUUCCCCCCAUUAUAGUGAGCUGCAUUUUUUUAAAUUUCCAUUUAAAUUACAGUACAGCCGUUAUUUCUCUAUGGGCAUCUAUAACAUAAACCAGCACAUGCAGAUGUGAUGAGAGAAUCCUUUGGUAUCUUUUCUGGCUGUGGGCAAGUGUUUGCUCAGAGGGUGCUAACCUUGACUGCUGCCCAAAUGU